ACUCCUGCGGGAGGCAGCAGUGGGGAAUUUUGGACAAUGGGCGAAAGCCUGAUCCAGCCAUGCCGCGUGCAGGAUGAAGGCCUUCGGGUUGUAAACUGCUUUUGUACGGAACGAAACGGCCUUUUCUAAUAAAGAGGGCUAAUGACGGUACCGUAAGAAUAAGCACCGGCUAACUACGUGCCAGCAGCCGCGGUAAUACGUAGGGUGCAAGCGUUAAUCGGAAUUACUGGGCGUAAAGCGUGCGCAGGCGGUUAUGUAAGACAGUUGUGAAAUCCCCGGGCUCAACCUGGGAACUGCAUCUGUGACUGCGUAGCUAGAGUACGGUAGAGGGGGAUGGAAUUCCGCGUGUAGCAGUGAAAUGCGUAGAUAUGCGGAGGAACACCGAUGGCGAAGGCAAUCCCCUGGACCUGUACUGACGCUCAUGCACGAAAGCGUGGGGAGCAAACAGGAUUAGAUACCCCAGUAGUCCCA
rnacentral:rRNA from 1 species